rnacentral:rRNA from 1 species
CAUGCCUAACACAUGCAAGUCGAACGAAGGCUUCGGCCUUAGUGGCGCACGGGUGCGUAACGCGUGGGAAUCUGCCCUUUGGUUCGGAAUAACAGCUGGAAACGGCUGCUAAUACCGGAUGAUGACGAAAGUCCAAAGAUUUAUCGCCAGAGGAUGAGCCCGCGUUGGAUUAGGUAGUUGGUGGGGUAAAGGCCUACCAAGCCGACGAUCCAUAGCUGGUCUGAGAGGAUGAUCAGCCACACUGGGACUGAGACACGGCCCAGACUCCUACGGGAGGCAGCAGUGGGGAAUAUUGGACAAUGGGCGAAAGCCUGAUCCAGCAAUGCCGCGUGAGUGAUGAAGGCCCUAGGGUUGUAAAGCUCUUUUACCCGGGAAGAUAAUGACUGUACCGGGAGAAUAAGCCCCGGCUAACUCCGUGCCAGCAGCCGCGGUAAUACGGAGGGGGCUAGCGUUGUUCGGAAUUACUGGGCGUAAAGCGCACGUAGGCGGCUUUGUAAGUAAGAGGUUAAAGCCUGGAGCUCAACUCCAGAACUGCCUUUGAGACUGCAUCGCUUGAAUCCAGGAGAGGUCAGUGGAAUUCCGAGU